UACUCAGACCUCACCUCUUAUAUAUUAUGUAUUUUGCAGGCUGCCAUAGCUAUGGGGCACAGUGGGAGUACUGCUACAAGAGCACAAGGACGUAGCUGAGAAGCCUGCUGCUCCGCUUGGUACCGGAGAUCAAGCCCUCUCUCUAAAGAACUCUGGCAUAUAGGAUAGAGUAUUGUUGAUCAGAAGAAAUGCCUGCUCUAUUUUGCAGCUCAGUUCCUGGUUUCCUUAGUAACUGUUGGUAAAAGUAAAUGCACCUGAGUGUAGUUUUAACAAUGUGAAAUUUCUACAUACGUUGCCCAAUCCAGUUCCACCCACUCUCAGCAUCUCCCUCAUCUUCCACGAUAGACCUGCCAUUACAUGCUAUACGGUACGAUCACUAGCAGAGUGGGUGCAAUCAGAGACUGAGAAGCAUGUUAACAGAAGUCCUGGCAAAGAACAAAAAUAACCCCCUGCCAGUCACCAUAGCAAAUGUUGCUCCCGAGAGACAGGAAAAAAUUAUAUACUGAGAUGUAAGUGGCGUAAGCCUGCCUACACCCUGUGUAGGAAGGGGCUUUAAUAGAGCACUGAGAGCCUGCACGUGGGUGGAGAGAAAAACAAAUGUUAACGGUGCCUUUUGUUGUCUUGGAUAGCACGAAAGAGAAUGGAGAGUGAAGGGAAAGCUCCCCUUGUUCUGGAGAAAUACAGACUCAUUGUGAUAACUGCAGAGAGACUGGGUGGGAAAGGUCUUCAAAAUCAUUCUCAUGGGAUGGGGAAAGCAUCCUGCUUCACUCUAACACAGGUACCUCCUCUGUCCUUAUCUUUGGAUGCCAAGAUUCAUGUUGCUGGGGCUGCUAGCUUUUUCCUCCAUAGUUGUGACUACCCCUUACUGCCUCAGGAGGCUAGAAAGUACACACAACUCUCCCACGCCCACUAACUCUC
rnacentral:lncRNA from 1 species